rnacentral:rRNA from 1 species
AGAGAGAGACAUGCGCGCAUAUCAAUAAGCGGAGGAAAAGAAACUAACUAAGGAUUCCCCUCAGUAACGGCGAGUGAAGCGGGAAGAGCUCAAAUUUGAAAUCUUCAAGGGUUCUACCUUUACGAAUUGUAGUUUAAAGAAGUGUUUUCUGUUGAGGUUUUGGUAAAAGUUCUUUGGAAUAGGACAUCAUAGAGGGUGAGAAUCCCGUAUUUGACCAUUAUUUUCAGCUGUGUGAUACACUUUCAAAGAGUCGGAUUGUUUGGGAAUGCAGUCCAAAAUGGGUGGUAAAUUUCAUCUAAAGCUAAAUACUGGCGAGAGACCGAUAGCGAACAAGUACCGUGAGGGAAAGAUGAAAAGAACUUUGAAAAGAGAGUUAAACAGUACGUGAAAUUGUCAAAAGGGAAGCGUUUGACACCAGUGUUGUUUUCUCGAAAAUCAAUUAAAAAAGGCAGGAUUUUGUGUUGUAUUGACUUUAUCAGCUUUCUGCACUCUUUUCUUGUCUUUUUUAAUGCACUUUUCGUUUAACAAGUCAACAUCAAUUUCUUUUGUUGUAAAAGGGUCAUUGGAAGGUGGCUUUCUUUUCGGAGAAAGUAUUUAUAGCCUUUGGCCUCUGCAAUCGGAGAGAUUGAGGUCUGCAGCGUAGAUCCUUCGGGGUUAGAUACAUUUGUGCUAAGUUAUAGCCUUUCAUAGACAACUUGUUGACUAUGAUCAGUCAUGUAGCUUACUCGCUUAUGCUAUUUUACCUACGCUUAGGAUGUUGAUGUGAUACUGCGAGCA